ensembl:snoRNA
GGGGUGUGAUCAGAGCAGGAAGCCUAAAGAAAUGGCUCCUUUGUUUACAACACACCCAACAGAAAUCUGGGUUUAUUGACAGUGGGCAUAAAAGUCUUGGCCUACCAAUGAAUACAUAACCCUACAGCA